rnacentral:rRNA from 1 species
GAUGAACGCUGGCGGCGUGCCUAAUACAUGCAAGUCGAGCGAACAGAUGAGGAGUUUGCUCCUCGGAUGUUUGCCGAGGAGGGGAGAGUAACAUGUGGAAAACCCACCUAUAUGUCUGGUAUAACCUCGGGAAACCGGCUCUUACACCGGAUUAUAUAUUCAACCGCAGGGGUCAAUAGGGAAGGGCGGUUUUGCUGUCGGUUAUACAUGGAGCCGAGCCGCUUUAGCGAGUUGGUAAGGUAACGGCUUACCAAGGCAACGAUGCGUAGCCGACCUGAGAGGGUGAUCGGCCACACUGGAACUGAGAGACGGUCCAGACUCCUAGGGGAGGCAGCGGGGGGGAAUCUUCGGAAAUGGGCGAAAGCCUGACGGAGCAACGCCGCGUGGGUGAGGAAGGUCUUCGGAUCGUAAAGCUCUGUUACUAGGGAAGAACAAGUGUGUACGUAACUAUGGACGUCUUGACGGUACCUGAUCAGAAAGCCACGGCUAACUACGUG